CCCGCCCGCCGGGGAGUCGGUCCCGGUUCCACCCCCCCCGCCCCCCCCGGUCACCUGCGCGCCCCGCGCACGGCUCCUGCCCCGGUGCUCCCGGGGCCAUCCCCGCCGCUAUCCCGCCCCUCGGCGGUGGGGGGGUCCCUCGCACCGGGGGUGGGAGCGGGGCCGUGGGUGAGGAUGAUGCCGGAGCCCCGGCACCGUGCCGGUGCGGCCCGCCGGAGGGUCCCUGGUGAAGGCUCGGGGUGUGGGGACCUGAGAGGAGACAGCAAGGUGCUGCAGCGCUCAUCAUGACCAGAACACCCCGGAGCAUCCUCCUGAGGAUAAGCACUUCAGCUGCAAGGGCAGAGAGAGGGACAGCAGGGACCAGCAGCUCUCCCUGAGCUCACCAGGGAGCAACGGAGCAUCAGGAGCUCCUUCACCCAGUGCCCACCACCGAAAACAGCUUCCCCACCAGCUGCCCUCGUACACUUACUGGGCUCUAUGUCCCCAGCCCAGCAAGGGCGGUUUCCUCCCAGCACUGACCUCGCUCCCAGCCCCAUGCAGAGCCGAAAGAACUUAAUUAGCUGCUGGGCUUUGGAAAUUAUCCUUUUGGCUGGGAAGUGCUGGCGAUGACUGGCGAAAUGCUCGUGGGUCAAACAGUAGCUCCAUGCUUUUCUCUGUGAAGGACUAAGUGCUUGCCUGAUUCCAGGGAACCAGCUGUGGAUUUUUUUUCUUUUUUUACCUCUCUGCUCUUUUUUUUGAUGCCUGCUGGUGUUUUGGGCUUUUCAUGAGGAUGGCUGGGCCCAGCCCACAGCACGUGGCGUCACAAAGUGCUGAUGCCUGUGGUGGGAACUGGAGGGGUGAAACCCUUCGGAAGAGCCAUGGGGCAGAAGCUGAGCUGGUGAUUGUGGUGCUCCGGGGUUUAAAACUGUCUGGCAGAGUCUCAUCUUGUGUCAUGGGUGUUGGGUGGCCUCGGGGAGGGUCGUUCUGCUGCAGUCGACUGAGCCCCCUCGGCCCCAGCAGAUCCUUUGUGGACCCCAGCCCAGAUGGUGCUGGGGAGUGGGCGCAGGAGCGGGGCAUGCCAAACCACAGCGAGGGGAACGUCAACAUGGGGGAAAAUGUCACCCUCAGAAACAAACUUCUUAAUAAAACCCGUUGCCUCUGUGA